rnacentral:rRNA from 1 species
UACGAAGGGGGCUAGCGUUGCUCGGAAUCACUGGGCGUAAAGCGCACGUAGGCGGAUUGUUAAGUCAGGGGUGAAAUCCUGGAGCUCAACUCCAGAACUGCCUUUGAUACUGGCGGUCUCGAGUCCGGGAGAGGUGAGUGGAACUGCGAGUGUAGAGGUGAAAUUCGUAGAUAUUCGCAAGAACACCAGUGGCGAAGGCGGCUCACUGGCCCGGUACUGACGCUAAGGUGCGAAAGCGUGGGGAGCAAACAGG